GCGGGAAAGUUUUCCAACUACGAAAGAGAAGCGACCGGAUCGAUAGCGACAGCACGAUCGCGAUGCGCCCGCCGCGUGUACGACAAUGAGACGUUCCGGAUUCGCUCGGUGAUCCCCUGGUACUACCUAUGCCACCACCGCGAGCAUCCGCACACCGAUACACAACCAUACAACCAAACAGAUAGAUAUACGCUAUACACGCGUGCCCUCCUCAUAUACACCUUCACCACGCGAACGACGUGGACUGACACUCCGCAACAACGAUUACUAUUCUUCAGAAACACACGGUUUCUGCAUUCACCGGCCCGUGAAUCCGUAUACGAGCACACACGGUGCCGAUGUACACGAAGACUGUACAGUGAACGUCAUCAACCGAAGAACAAGGCUACGUUUAACUUGCGAGCUUGACUCCACGUUUUUUCCUGCAUACGAUCGUAAUUAGCGUUCAACAUACUAUAAGAAUCAACUCGGUGUUGACUAUACGAGGCACGUAUGCACUGUUCAUCGAUCACAAAAAUUCAUGACAUAGCUUAUAUGAACGUCCGUGCAUUGUAUAAACGUAACAUGGAGAUAUAUAUUCUGCAUUGUGUCGAAACUGAUGGCAUCGAAUAAAAAAGAAGAAAACAUAAUGAUAGUCGGAGCUCAAGCAUUAGCCGAAGUUAUGGAAUCAAGAUAAUCCUGCUCUAUUCGUUUGUAAAUGGGUUACUGCUAAGAAAUUUCUUCAAUGCACAAAUAAAUGUUUAUAUCAGAUCGUCACGGUUUCCGCACUACUGCGAAUAAAUAACUGUUUACGGUUCUUACCAUUUUGUACUUAACUAACAAUAAAACUCUUUUUCUAGAA